GUCUCCAUAGCUCAAUUGGAUAGAGCGUUGGCCUCCGAAGCCGAAGGUUGCAGGUUCGAUUCCUGUUGGAGACG
rnacentral:tRNA from 1 species